rnacentral:rRNA from 1 species
UACGUAUGGUGCAAGCGUUAUUCGGAUUUACUGGGUGUAAAGGGAGCGCAGGCGGAAGGCUAAGUCUGAUGUGAAAGCCCGGGGCUCAACCCCGGUACUGCAUUGGAAACUGGUCAUCUAGAGUGUCGGAGGGGUAAGUGGAAUUCCUAGUGUAGCGGUGAAAUGCGUAGAUAUUAGGAGGAACACCAGUGGCGAAGGCGGCUUACUGGACGAUAACUGACGCUGAGGCUCGAAAGCGUGGGGAGCAAACAGG